GAUGAACGCUGGCGGCGUGCCUAAUACAUGCAAGUCGAGCGAAUAGACUCGGUGCUUGCUGGUCUGACGUUAGGGGCGAACUGGUUAGCAACGCGUGGACAACGUACUUACUAGUGUGAGAUUACUCUGAGAACGCGGAGCUAAUACCAUAUAAUAUACUCUAUCGCAUGGUUCAUUAGGGAAAGACGGUUUUGCUGUUUCUUAUAGAUUGAUUUGCGCCGCAUUAGCUAGUUGGUAAGGUAACGGCUUACCAAGGGAACGAUGCGUAGCCGACCUGAGAGGGUGAUCGGCCACACUGGAACUGAGACACGGUCCAGACUCCUACGGGAGGCAGCAGUAGGGAAUCUUCGGCAAUGGGGGAAAGCCUGACGGAGCAACGCCGCGUGAGUGAAGAAGUAAUUCGGAACGUAAAACUCUGUUAUAGGGGAAGAACAGUUGUGAAAGGGAAUGAGCACGAAGUGACGGUACCUGAUAAGAAAGCCACGGCUAACUACGUG
rnacentral:rRNA from 1 species